rnacentral:lncRNA from 1 species
CUAGUAAUAAUGCUAAUUAAAAGAAGAGAGGAUCCCAACGUAAUCAUGAUCCACAAAAAUCAGGUGUAAUGUUAAUUAAGGGAUUAACUAAGAUUAACAUGACUUAAAGAUAAUUAAAGAUGGAUUAGGGGGUUAACAGAUUGAAAAAGGGGUAUAGAUUGUUGUAUGAGGAAGCUGGCUUGGGCCUAAAGCCCAAGCUCCCAAUAACCAAUCCAGAUCCAUCUUGGCCAUGAAUUCUUCAAAGACCAUCAACGCCACCAGAAACGUCGGAAACUUCAGUACUCGUAACACAUGAAUGGCCCUAAAAUCCGAUGCAACAAACGCGUCCAGAAUCGCGACGAAGCUUCACCUCCGCGAACAAAAUCUAACGCGAACAAACGGGUCACGAUGUGACGAACUCAAUUCGUAUCAGUGGCAAAAAUCGGAUUUCGAAAUUGGAUCACCGAUUUUAAAGCUCGCUUUCCCUCGUCUUCUUGCGUGCGCAAAAUGAAAUAGAGUGAGAUUGAUACUUUCCGAUUCGAUGAUGUUGGUGUAUUCGCCUCUGUGUUAGUCGAUUUGCGCGUGUUUCGCUGCGUUGAGGUGUUGCAAAGAAAAGUGAAAAUGGAGAUGUACAGCGAAUCCAAUAGUCUCUCCCGGUAAUGAACCGAAGCAUGAAGGUAUUUAAAUAUCUUAGAAGCCUCCUCUUGCUUGUUGGAUUCUUCUUCCUUACCGUUUUGCUUCUGUUUCCAUUCUUUUUUCACUUCUUCUCUUUGGAUCCUUCUUGCAUUGUUGUUGAGGGUGAGUGAUGGUUCUGUUAUGGUUUCUUGGCGGAGUUUGUGAAGGUUGAAGUUAUUGAUUGGAGUUGCAGCUCAGAUGCGGUUAGAGAGUUUGUUGUGCAGAGUUCGUCUGCGUUUCAAAGGAAGGAGGAAGAAGACGCCGAGAAGCUGCUUGUGCCGCGGCGGUUGUUCGGAAAGAGGAAGAAGGUGAAGUGAUAGUGAUGAAGAUUCGUGUAACUGUGACAGUUGCAGUGUCGAUUCUGAAGAAAAAUGAAAAAUCUUCCCAAGUAAAUCACAGUACUGGCUUAUAUACAUUUUCAAUCUGUUAGAUCGGUUAGCUACCGUUAAAAUCUUUGUGUAACUCGGUUAGGAGUUAUAACGCUGCUAAUUUGUUUGUUAAGGGGUUGUUUCCGUUAGAGCCAUUUUUACAGGUUAUAAAAUAAUUGAGUUUUCCACUCUCCAACUUGGCUUUGCAGUUUUUGGUGUAGCUGUUGACGUCAUGGCCUUGAGUUGUUUUGGAUGGCGCCGUUUCCGCAUUUCGGUUGCAGCUUGUUUCGCGUUUGGUUGUGGCUGUUGUUGUUUCGCGGUGUUGAAUUUAACGUUUGCGCUUCGUCUUGGUUGUGUGUUAGUCGCAUCUUUCACUUGCCUGUAUUCCACUUCAUAGCGAUUCGUUCCAUCCCAUGCUGCGUUUUUACUUGCACUUUGUCUCAUUGAAUGAGGAUACGACUAUGUCAAUUGAAUAUUGGGUAUCUAGUUGAUUAGAUUUGGUGAAUCUAUAUCAGUAUUAGAUAUUGGAUAUGGAUUUAAAUGGACAUUGGUUUGGAAAAUGGGAUGGUAAUAAGAACUGGGUAAUUGGCAUGGAUGAUGGAUAUCUGGAUUAAUGGGUUUGAUAUUGGGCUUAAGAAUCUUGCACAUUGCAAAUGUUAAUUUUUUAUGCUGAGUUUUUUAUAUGAAAAAAGGAAUGGGCUGACUCUCGAAUAGCACAUGCAUGGCCCAUUAGGAAAAAACGAUUCCACAAAUCAACUUGAAUUUACACAUUAACUUGAAUUAUCCAAAUUAACUCGAAUUUCCAAAUUAA